CCAAUAGCGUAUAUUAAAGUUGUUGCAGUUAAAAAGCUCGUAGUUGAAUUUCGGGAUUGACACAUCGGUCGUGCCUUAAGGGGUAUGAACUGGUGUAGUCAAUUUCUCACCUUCUGGAGAACCGCAAUGCCCUUAAUUGGGUGUCGCGGGGAACCAGGACCUUUACUUUGAAAAAAUUAGAGUGUUUAAAGCAGGCAUUUUGCUUGAAUACAUUAGCAUGGAAUAAUAAAAUAGGACGGCAUGAUUCUAUUUUGUUGGUUUCUAGGAUCACCGUAAUGAUUAAUAGGGAUAGUUGGGGGCAUUAGUAUUCAAUUGUCAGAGGUGAAAUUCUUGGAUUUAUUGAAGACUAACUACUGCGAAAGCAUUUGCCAAGGAUGUUUUCAUUAAUCAAGAACGAAAGUUAGGGGAUCGAAGACGAUCAGAUACCGUCGUAGUCUUAACCAUAAACUAUGCCGACUAGGAAUCAGACGAUGUUAAUUUUUUAAUGACUCGUUUGGCACCUUACG
rnacentral:ncRNA from 2 species